UACAGAGGUCCCAAGCGUUGUUCGGAUUCACUGGGCGUAAAGGGUGCGUAGGUGGCGAGGUAAGUCGGAUGUGAAAGCUCGGAGCUCAACUCCGAAAUGGCAUUGGAAACUACCUUGCUCGAGGGUCGGAGGGGGGACUGGAAUACUUGGUGUAGCAGUGAAAUGCGUAGAUAUCAAGUGGAACACCAGUGGCGAAGGCGAGUCCCUGGACGACUCCUGACACUGAGGCACGAAAGCGUGGGGAGCGAUCCGG
rnacentral:rRNA from 1 species